GGAGACGUGUCCGAGCUGGCUCAAGGAGCACGAUUGGAAAUCGUGUAUAUGGUUUAUAGCUGUAUCCAGGGUUCGAAUCCCUGCGUCUCCGCCA
rnacentral:tRNA from 1 species